rnacentral:rRNA from 1 species
GAUCAUGGCUCAGAUUGAACGCUGGCGGCAUGCUUUACACAUGCAAGUCGAACGGCAGCACGGGGGCAACCCUGGUGGCGAGUAGCGAACGGGUGAGUAAUGCAUCGGAACGUAUCUUCGAGUGGGGGAUAACGCACCGAAAGGUGUGCUAAUACCGCAUAAUCUCUACGGAGAAAAGCAGGGGAUCGCAAGACCUUGCGCUCUUGGAGCGGCCGAUGUCUGAUUAGCUAGUUGGUGAGGUAAAGGCUUACCAAGGCGACGAUCAGUAGCUGGUCUGAGAGGACGACCAGCCACACUGGGACUGAGACACGGCCCAGACUCCUACGGGAGGCAGCAGUGGGGAAUUUUGGACAGUGGGGGAAACCCCGAUCCAGCCAUGCCGCGUGAGUGAAGAAGGCUUCGGGUUGUAAAGCUCUUUCAGCCGGAACGAAACGGUCACGGCUAAUACCUGUGACUACUACGGUACGGAAAAGAAGCACCGGCUAACUACGUC